rnacentral:misc_RNA from 1 species
GUUCUUAAAAUCUCUAAAAGAACUGGGGUUGUCAAGUAAUGUUCUAUCCGGAUCAAUCCCUCCUUCCAUUGGAAAUUUGAGAGAGUUAAUAAUUCUUGAUCUUUCUAGCAACAACCUCUCAGGAUCAAUUCCCCAUGAAAUUGGGAUGCUUCGUUCUCUUUCUAAAUUCUUUUUGGGGAACAAUAGUCUUACAGGUUCAAUCCCUACUUCCAUGAUAAACUU